AAGCUAUACAGUAUCAUGCUAUUGUAGAUAUGUCUCCAGCAUUUACUACAAUACCAGUAUUAAUGAUUUAUUUUAGCCUACAUUAAUAGGCUGUCAUUAACAAUAAGAGCAAAACUCAUGAGCAUGUAUAUAAAAAAAGUUAUUUACUUAAUAUUUUACACUAACAUAAAAUGGUAAAUAUAUGCAUGUAGGUGUUAUUAGCUCAUGUGGAGGUUUAACAGGUAAAGUCUAACCACUUUUCUUUUAACUGCUCCUGUAAAAUAGUUUUUGUACUGUAAAUUAAUUAAACUGCAUUAAGGUUCAAAUUUGUCUUGCAGGGUCAAUAACAAUCAGUCAUCUGUCAGAGAGAAUUCAAGACUCUUUCUCCAGGCCGACUAAUUGUCUCCAGUGCAAAUGAUCCUCUGUCAUCACACUCCCUGAGGACACUCCAGAGUAGCAGGUCUACAUGUUCUGUUAAGAGACUGGAUUCUGAGAGUGAGAUCCUGUGAAG